AGAAUCAACGCUGGCGGCGUGCCUAACACAUGCAAGUCGAACGAGAAAGUGGAGCAAUCCAUGAGUAAAGUGGCGCACGGGUGAGUAACACGUGACUAACCUACCCUUGAGUGGGGGAUAACCUAGGGAAACCUGGGCUAAUACCGCAUAAUACCUUCGGGUCAAAGGAGCAAUUCGCUUAAGGAGGGGGUCGCGGCCGAUUAGUUAGUUGGCGGGGUAAUGGCCCACCAAGACUGUGAUCGGUAUCCGGCCUGAGAGGGCGCACGGACACACUGGAACUGAAACACGGUCCAGACUCCUACGGGAGGCAGCAGUGGGGAAUUUGCGCAAUGGGGGAAACCCUGACGCAGCAACGCCGCGUGGAGGAUGAAGUCCCUUGGGACGUAAACUCCUUUCGAUCGGACGAUUAUGACGGUACCGGAAGAGAAGCCCCGGCUAACUUCGUGCCAGCAGCCGC
rnacentral:rRNA from 1 species